CCUACGGGUGGCAGCAGUGAGGAAUAUUGGUCAAUGGGCGGAAGCCUGAACCAGCCAAGUCGCGUGAGGGAUUAAGGCCCUGCGGGUCGUAAACCUCUUUUGCCGGGGAGCAGAGGUCCGGACGUGUCCGGGCCGGGAGAGUACCCGGAGAAAAAGCAUCGGCUAACUCCGUGCCAGCAGCCGCGGUAAUACGGAGGAUCCGAGCGUUAUCCGGAUUUAUUGGGUUUAAAGGGAGCGUAGAUGGGUUGUUAAGUCAGUUGUGAAAGUUUGCGGCUCAACCGUAAAAUUGCAAUUGAUACUGGCAGUCUUGAGUACAGUUGAGGUAGGCGGAAUUCGUGGUGUAGCGGUGAAAUGCUUAGAUAUCACGAAGAACCCCGAUUGCGAAGGCAGCUUACUAAACUGUGACUGACAUUGAUGCUCGAAAGUGUGGGUAUCAAACAGGAUUAGAUACCCGUGUAGUC
rnacentral:rRNA from 1 species